rnacentral:tRNA from 1 species
GGUCCGCUAGCUCAGCUGGAUAGAGCAACAGAUUUCUAAUCUGUGGGUCAGGGGUUCGAAUCCCUUGCGGAUCA